UACGGGGGGGGCAAGCGUUGUUCGGAAUUACUGGGCGUAAAGGGCUCGUAGGCGGCCGCUUAAGUCAGACGUGAAAUCCCUCGGCUCAACCGGGGCACUGCGUCUGAGACUGAAUGGCUUGAAUCCGGGAGAGGGAUGCGGAAUUCCAGGUGUAGCAGUGAAAUGCGUAGAUAUGCGGAGGAACACCGAUGGCGAAGGCAAUCCCCUGGGCCUGCACUGACGCUCAUGCACGAAAGCGUGGGGAGCAAACAGG
rnacentral:rRNA from 1 species